AGUGAAGCGGCAACAGCUCAAACUUGAAAUCUGGCCGUUCGGCGGUCCGAGUUGUAAUUUGUAGAGGAUGCUUCGGGUGCGGCGCCGGUCUAAGUUCCUUGGAACAGGACGUCAGAGAGGGUGAGAAUCCCGUAUGUGACCGGUGACCCAGCCCGUGUGAAGCUCCUUCGACGAGUCGAGUUGUUUGGGAAUGCAGCUCUAAAUGGGGGGGAAAUUUCAUCUAAAGCUAAAUACCGGCCAGAGACCGAUAGCGCACAAGUAGAGUGAUCGAAAGAUGAAAAGCACUUUGGAAAGAGAGUUAAAAAGUACGUGAAAUUGUUGAAAGGGAAGCGCUUGUGACCAGACUUGCUCGCGGGCGAUCAGCCGUCCUUCUGGGCGGUGCACUCGCCCGUGAUCAGGCCAGCAUCGGUUCGGGCGGCCGGAUAACGGCCCCGGGAAUGUGGNUCCCCUCGGGGAGUGUUAUAGCCCGGGGCGCAAUGCGGCCCGCCGGGACCGAGGACCGCGCUUCGGCUAGGAUGCUGGCGUAAUGGUCGUAAGCGACCCGUCUUGAAACACGGACCAAGGAGUCUAACAUCUGUGCGAGUGUUUGGGUGUCAAACCCAUGCGCGGAAUGAAAAGUGAACGGAGGUGGGAACCCUUCAGGGUGCACCAUCGACCGAUCCUGAUGUCUUCGGAUG
rnacentral:rRNA from 1 species